rnacentral:rRNA from 1 species
CGACCGGCGCACGGGUGCGUAACGCGUAUGCAACCUACCUUUAACAGGGGGAGUAACACUGAGAAAUUGGUACUAAUACCCCAUAAUAUCAUAGAAGGCAUCUUUUAUGGUUGAAAAUUACCAUGGUUAGAGAUGGGGCAUGCGUUGUAUUAGCUAGUUGGUGGGGUAACGGCUCACCAAGGCGACGAUACAUAGGGGGACUGAGAGGUUAACCCCCCACACUGGUACUGAGACACGGACCAG